UGAUGCUUGUGGAACGAGCGGCGGACGGGUGAGUAACACGUGGGCAACCUGCCUGUAAGACUGGGAUAACUCCGGGAAACCGGGGCUAAUACCGGAUAAUACUUUUUACUUCAUGGUAGAAAGAUGAAAGGCGGCUUCGGCUGUCACUUACAGAUGGGCCCGCGGCGCAUUAGCUAGUUGGUGAGGUAACGGCUCACCAAGGCGACGAUGCGUAGCCAACCUGAGAGGGUGAUCGGCCACACUGGGACUGAGACACGGCCCAGACUCCUACGGGAGGCAGCAGUAGGGAAUCUUCCGCAAUGGACGAAAGUCUGACGGAGCAACGCCGCGUGAGUGAUGAAGGUUUUCGGAUCGUAAAACUCUGUUGUUAGGGAAGAACAAGUAUGAUAGUAACUGAUCGUACCUUGACGGUACCUAACCAGAAAGCCCCGGCUAACUACGUGCCAGCAGCCGCGGUAAUACGUAGGGGGCAAGCGUUGUCCGGAAUUAUUGGGCGUAAAGCGCGCGUAGGCGGUCCUUUAAGUCUGAUGUGAAAGCCCACGGCUUAACCGUGGAGGGUCAUUGGAAACUGGAGGACUUGAGUGCAGAAGAGGAGAGUGGAAUUCCACGUGUAGCGGUGAAAUGCGUAGAGAUGUGGAGGAACACCAGUGGCGAAGGCGACUCUCUGGUCUGUAACUGACGCUGAGGUGCGAAAGCGUGGGUAGCGAACAGGAUUAGAUACCCUGGUAGUCCACGCCGUAAACGAUGAGUGCUAGGUGUUAGGGGGUUUCCGCCCCUUAGUGCUGAAGUUAACGCAUUAAGCACUCCGCCUGGGGGAGUACGGCCGCAAGGCUGAAACUCAAAAGAAUUGACGGGGGCCCGCACAAGCGGUGGAGCAUGUGGUUUAAUUCGAAGCAACGCGAAGAACCUUACCAGGUCUUGACAUCCUCUGACCACUCUAGAAGAUAGAGUUUUUCCCUUCGGGGACAGAGUGGACAGGUGGGUGCAUGGGUUGUCGUCCACCUCGUGUCGUGAAAAUGUUGGGGUUAAG
rnacentral:rRNA from 1 species